UUUCGAUGGCGUGUUGAGCUGCUUACAAACGCCUCGUUACCAGCAGCGGCUGCGGGGCGUUUUUUAGUUGAACGACGAAGCGAACGAUUGGGAAGCGUGUGAAGCGAACUUGCUAGCUGCUGCUAGGCAGAAGACGAGACGAGGCCUAACUGAUGUUUUAAUUGGCCAAACGACACUCUCCAGACUCCGUAUUAAGCUGUGGGAUAUGUGACGAUUGUCUAUAGAUCAAAUUCGCAUUCUUCGUGCAUAUCGCCACCUGCUAGUCAAGGCCGGUCAUAAGUGGAGAAGGACUAUGAUAUCGUUUCAGAAGGCGUCUAAAAACUGUCAGAGACGACAUGUUAACAUUUGGGGGAAAAACAUCAGACAGCUGAAAAACUCACCUGGGAGUUCUGCGCCUCUCCUGGGACUCUCGGGUGUUCAUGAAAGAAGGC